ACACAGCAGCCUACAAGGACGGUGUCUACUGGAUCAAGGGCCGCACCUCCGUGGACAUCAUCAAAAACGGCGGCUUCAAAAUCAGCGCCCUGGAGGUGGAACGCCAUCUGCUCACACACCCUCACAUCACAGAUGUAGCUGUGAUUGGGCCUCCAGACAUGGUGUGGGGCCAGCGGGUCAGCGCCGUUGUGCAGCUGCGCAAGGGCCAGAUGCUCUCGGUGAAGGAGCUGAAGGAGUGGGCCAGGGACAUCAUGGCUCCAUACACCAUCCCCACCGAGCUGAUCGUGGUGGAGGAGAUCCCACGAAACCAGAUGGGCAAAGUCAACAAGAAGGAGCUGCUGCAGCGCUUCUACCCAGCCUAGAGCAGGGGCUCAGGCCACGACCAGGAGCCUGGCUGGGCUUUGGUGCUCCACCACAUCCCUUCUGCCUCUACAAGCGACACCCAGGAGGUCCCAGCGGUGAUCAGCAGCGGCAGGUCCAGGCUCCCUGCAGUCUGGUCCAUGAGCAGCAUCCAAUAAA